rnacentral:rRNA from 1 species
GCAACGCUGCGGUGAAUACGUUCCCGGGCCUUGUACACACCGCCCGUCACACCAUGGGAGUUUGUUGCACCAGAAGCAGGUAGCUUAACCUUCGGGAGGGCGCUUGCCACGGUGUGGCCGAUGACUGGGGUGAAGUCGUAACAAGGUAGCCGUACCGGAAGGUGCGGCUGGAUCACCUCCUUU